rnacentral:rRNA from 1 species
UCGACUUAGAGAUAGCUGGUUCUUCAGGAAAAGGAUAUUAGUCCAAUUUUAAAUCUCUUYAUAACAUUAAAUAUUACCUYAGAUUUAAAUUUUAUUCAAAUAAGGUACAGCCUAUUUGAACUAGGAUACAGCCUCCAAUAGAGGGUAAUGUUUUAACCAAUGACUAAGUAGGCCUAAAAGCAGCCAUCUUUUAAAAAGCGUUACAGCCUUAUCAUUCUUGAUUAUUAAUACCAUCCUAAAUCCAAAACCCCUCACCUCUACUGAAUGACUCCAUAUUAUUAUGGAUAACCUUAUGUUAGAACUAGUAACAAGAAUAGCAAUUCUCCUGUAAUGUAAAUGUAAACCGGAAUGAACUAAUCACCGGCGCUUACCGCCAAUGAACCUACAGUAAUAACCUCACAAGAAAAGCUUACUUUCUCGAGCGUUAACCUUACACUAGAACUUCCCAGGAAAGAUUAAAAAAAGAGGAAGGAAUUCGGCAA